UGGGGAUUCGUCUAGUGGUAGGACACAUGACUCUGGAUCAUGUAGCCCAGGUUCGAAUCCUGGAUCCCCAGCCA
rnacentral:tRNA from 1 species